CUACGUACGUGCCCGCGGUCGUGGUAAGACGUAGGUGGCAAGCGUUGUCCCGAAGUUUGGGGCCUAAUGCGCGCGCACGCGGUCCUUUAAGUCUGGUGUGAAAGGCCACGGCUCAACCGUGGAGGGUCAUUGGAAACUGGGGGACGUGAGUGCAGAAGAGGAAAGCGGAAUUCCACGUGUAGCGGUGAAAUGCGUAGGGAUGUGGAGGAACACCGGUGGCGAAGGCGGCUUUCUGGGCUGUAGCUGACGCGGAGGAGCGAAAGCGUGGGGAGCAAACAGGAUGAGAUACCCCUGGUAGUC
rnacentral:rRNA from 1 species